rnacentral:rRNA from 1 species
GACGAACGCUGGCGGCGUGCUUAACACAUGCAAGUCGAACGGAAAGGCCCUGCUUUUGUGGGGUGCUCGAGUGGCGAACGGGUGAGUAACACGUGAGUAACCUGCCCUUGACUUUGGGAUAACUUCAGGAAACUGGGGCUAAUACCGGAUAGGAGCUCCUGCUGCAUGGUGGGGGUUGGAAAGUUUCGGCGGGUGGGGAUGGACUCGCGGCUUAUCAGCUUGUUGGUGGGGUAGUGGCUUACCAAGGCUUUGGCGGGUAGCCGGCCUGAGAGGGUGACCGGCCACAUGGGGACGGAGAUACGGCCCAGACUCCUACGGGAGGCAGCAGUGGGGAAUAUUGCACAAUGGGCGGAAGCCUGAUGCAGCAACGCCGCGUGCGGGAUGACGGCCUUCGUGUUGUAAACCGCUUGCGCCUGUGACGAAGCUUGAGUGACGGUAAUGGGUAAAGAAGCACCGGCUAACUACGUG